UACGAAGGUCCCGAGCGUUGUUCGGAAUCACUGGGCGUAAAGGGCGCGUAGGCGGCGUGGUAAGUCAGAUGUGAAAUCCCGGGGCUCAACCCCGGAACUGCAUCCGAUACUGCCGUGCUCGAGGGUUGGAGAGGUAGCUGGAAUUAUCGGUGUAGCAGUGAAAUGCGUGGAUAUCGAUAGGAACACUCGUGGCGAAGGCGAGCUACUGGACAACAACUGACGCUGAGGCUCGAAGGCCAGGCGAGCAAAAGGG
rnacentral:rRNA from 1 species